rnacentral:rRNA from 1 species
GACGAACGCUGGCGGCGUGCUUAACACAUGCAAGUCGAACGGUAAGGCCCUUCGGGGUACACGAGUGGCGAACGGGUGAGUAACACGUGGGUGAUCUGCCCUGCACUUCGGGAUAAGCCUGGGAAACUGGGUCUAAUACCGGAUAGGACUCCGGACUGCAUGGUCUGGGGUGGAAAGCUUUUGCGGUGUGGGAUGGGCCCGCGGCCUAUCAGCUUGUUGGUGGGGUGAUGGCCUACCAAGGCGACGACGGGUAGCCGGCCUGAGAGGGUGACCGGCCACAAGGGGACUGAGAUACGGGCCAGACUCCUACGGGAGGCAGCAGUGGGGAAUAUUGCACAAUGGGCGCAAGCCUGAUGCAGCGACGCCGCGUGAGGGAUGACGGACUUCGGGUUGUAAACCUCUUUCAGCACAGACGAAGCGCAAGUGACGGUAUGUGCAGAAGAAGGACCGGCCAACUACGUGCCAGCCGCCGCAGGAA